ACAGACAUACAUACAUACAUACAUACUGGCGUACACACAUACAUACAUACAUUCAUACAGACACUGACAUCCAUACAUACACAUUCAUAAUGACAUACAGACAUACAUUCAUACUGGCAUACACACAUUCAUACAGACAGACAUACAUACACUGACAUUCAUACACACACACACACAGCUCAUUUUCCAGCCACCCUCCUGUCUCUUACCUUGUCUUUGCAGGAGGGUGGCUGGGGCUGAUGGGACUGGAAGUCUGCUGGCUCUCCCUCUUCAUUGCUGGGCGUGCGCUCCUCCCGCGCGGAGUGA